AGAGUUUGAUCAUGGCUCAGAUUGAACGCUGGCGGCAGGCCUCAUACAUGCAAGUCGAACGAGAAAGUAUCUUCGGAUACGAGUACAGUGGCGGACGGGUGAGUAAUACAUAGGAAUCUACCCAAUGGAGGGGGAUAGCUCGAGGAAACUCGAAUUAAUACCGCAUAAUCUCCACGGAGUAAAGAGGGCUUCGGCUCUUGCCAUCGGAUGAGCCUAUGCAGGAUUAGCUUGUUGGUGAGGUAAAAGCUCACCAAGGCAACGAUCCUUAGCUGGUUUGAGAGGAUGACCAGCCACAUCGGGACUGAGACACGGCCCGGACUUCUACGGAAGGCAGCAGUAGGGAAUAUUGGACAAUGAGCGAAAGCUUGAUCCAGCCAUGCCGCGUGUGCGAUGACGGCCUUCGGGUUGUAAAGCACUUUAGGUAACGAGGAAAAGUUAGGUGUUAAUACCAUCUAACCUUGACGUUAAUUACAGAAUAAGCACCGGCUAAAUCCGUGCCAGCAGCCGCGGUAAUACGGAUGGUGCAAGCGUUAAUCGGAAUUACUGGGCGUAAAGCGCGCGUAGGUGGCAUAUUAAGUUAGAUGUGAAAUCCCGAGGCUUAACCUCGGAACUGCAUCUAAAACUAAUAAGCUUGAGUACUAGAGAGGAAAGUAGAAUUCUUAGUGUAGCGGUGGAAUGCG
rnacentral:rRNA from 1 species